CGGGGAAGCCACUAGAUACAGAUGCUGGAGAAUUUGGGCUGGUUUCUUCUGCAUUUUAACAAUCCCUGGGGCUUUCUUUGGUUCUUUCUUUAUUUGAGUGAGGUUGAGAUCAUCUUUCUAUCAUGUCUCUGCAUUCAGUGAUAUCCAUAUUUAUCCAUGUUUGAAAAGACACAGACAUCAAUCUGGGUCUUACUCUGUCACGCAGGAUGGAGGCUGGAGUCCAAUGGCACAAUUGCAGCUCACUGCACCCUCAAACUCCUGGGCUCAAGGGGGCCUCCCAUCUUACCCUCCC
rnacentral:lncRNA from 1 species